UCGUACNNGUUUCCGUAGGUGAACCUGCGGAAGGAUCAUUGUCGAAACCUGCAAAGCAGACCCGUGAACGUGUGUUUUUACCUCGAGGGUGUCGGGGCCUGGGCCGUUCGCGCGGCUCGGCGUCUCGUCUCCCUCGCUCGGCCGGCGCCUGCGUCGUCCGUGCUAACGAACCCCGGCGCGGAACGCGCCAAGGAAAACAAAAAUAGAUGAGCCGCGCCCCUUUCUGCCCCGUUCGCGGGUGCCAUUUGGGGGUACGCGGUCUCUCUUGAAAGUCAUAACGACUCUCGGCAACGGAUAUCUCGGCUCUCGCAUCGAUGAAGAACGUAGCGAAAUGCGAUACUUGGUGUGAAUUGCAGAAUCCCGUGAACCAUCGAGUCUUUGAACGCAAGUUGCGCCCGAAGCCAUUCGGCCGAGGGCACGUCUGCCUGGGCGUCACGCAUCGCGUCGCCCCCUCCCACUCCUUAGGGAUAUAGGGAAGGGGCGGAAAAUGGCAUCCCGUGCUCCUUGGAGCGCGGCCUGCCCAAAUGCGAUCCCGCAUCGGCGGAUGUCACGACAAGUGGUGGUUGAACAUUCGACUCGCGUUUUGUCGUGCCUAUCACCGUCGCUUGCUAGGGCAUCAAUUUGACCCAGCGGCGCCUUAACCGGUGCCUUCGACCGCGACCCCAGGUCAGGCGGGACUACCCGCUGAGUUUAAGCAUAUCAAUAAGCGGAGGAAAAGAAACUUACAAGGAUCCCCNNAUUAACGGCGAGCGAACCGGGAAUAGCCCAACUUGAGAAUCGAGCGGCUUCGCGUCGAU
rnacentral:rRNA from 1 species